rnacentral:tRNA from 1 species
UGAUCCUGAUGGGAUUUGAACCCACAAUCUUUGGCUCCGGAGGCCAACACCUUAUCCGUUAGGCCACAGGACC